GAAACUUCCUGACUAAUGCUCGCUUUGGAAUGAUACAGAGAAGAUUAGCAUGACCCCUGCACAAGAAGACAUGAAAAUUCAUGAAGUGUUUCAUAUUUUA
rnacentral:snRNA from 1 species